GACGAACGCUGGCGGCGUGCUUAACACAUGCAAGUCGAACGGAAAGGCUCUGCUUUUGUGGGGUGCUCGAGUGGCGAACGGGUGAGUAACACGUGAGUAACCUGCCCUUGACUUUGGGAUAACUUCAGGAAACUGGGGCUAAUACCGGAUAGGAGCUCCUGCUGCAUGGUGGGGGUUGGAAAGUUCGGCGGUUGGGGAUGGACUCGCGGCUUAUCAGCUUGUUGGUGGGGUAGUGGCUUACCAAGGCUUUGACGGGUAGCCGGCCUGAGAGGGUGACCGGCCACAUUGGGACUGAGAUACGGCCCAGACUCCUACGGGAGGCAGCAGUGGGGAAUAUUGCACAAUGGGCGGAAGCCUGAUGCAGCAACGCCGCGUGCGGGAUGACGGCCUUCGGGUUGUAAACCGCUUUCGCCUGUGACGAAGCGUGAGUGACGGUAAUGGGUAAAGAAGCACCGGCUAACUACGUG
rnacentral:rRNA from 1 species